rnacentral:rRNA from 1 species
GAUGAACGCUGGCGGCGUGCCUAAUACAUGCAAGUCGAGCGGAUGGAUUAGGAGCUUGCUCUUAUGAAGUUAGCGGCGGACGGGUGAGUAACACGUGGGUAACCUGCCCAUAAGACUGGGAUAACUCCGGGAAACCGGGGCUAAUACCGGAUAACAUUUUGAACCGCAUGGUUCGAAAUUGAGAGGCGGCUUCGGCUGUCACUUAUGGAUGGACCCGCGUCGCAUUAGCUAGUUGGUGAGGUAACGGCUCACCAAGGCAACGAUGCGUAGCCGACCUGAGAGGGUGAUCGGCCACACUGGGACUGAGACACGGCCCAGACUCCUCCGGGAGGCAGCAGUAGGGAAUCUUCCGCAAUGGACGAAAGUCUGACGGAGCAACGCCGCGUGAGUGAUGAAGGCUUUCGGGUCGUAAAACUCUGUUGUUAGGGAAGAACAAGUGCUAGUUGAAUAAGCUGGCACCUUGACGGUACCUAACCAGAAAGCCACGGCUAACUACGUGCCAGCCGCCGCGGUAA